CCCAGUAACCCCAAUACCCCAAUAUUUCUUCUUCCUCCUCUCACUCAUUUUGAUUACCCAGUAAACCCAAACCCCCUUUCCUUCUCCCUUGUUUUAAAGCUCUAAACCCGACAUUCCUUUUUUCCUCAUUGUCAACGGCAUAAUCGAAGACAUCGCGCGUUGCUCCUCAAUCCUCUUCUUCCUCUGAUCUUCGAAGGAUUUGGGCUGCGAAAAAUCAGUUGAUUUUCCUUUCUUUCGUGAUUUUUUAAGGAGUGUUGUAGCAGCCGAAAUCUUCCUCCCUUUGCCUCUGAAUUCUGCCGAAAUGGGGAGGAAGUGAGUGAGGUUUGGUCCUGUUGUUUAAGCAUCAAGAUUCAAGUUAAAAAACCAAAUUUCGAAAUCUGUUCUUUUUCCAUGUACCUGCUGCUGUCCACAGGGGAGAUGACGUCAUCGAGGAACCUUUCUGGAGAUCGCGGAAAAACGGACUUAGCUCCUUGAAGCAUCUUUGAUUGAUUAUAGAUCGGUAGCAGUCGGGAACGAAGGGAUAUCAGUGGUAAUGAGAGAGCGCUAGCAGAUCUCUUUGAUUGAGGAUUUGAUCGUUUGUGUGAGUUAGAUUAGUUGGCUAUAGAAUUGUGUAAUAGAAUUGACUUUGUAGUUUUGAGUACCUAUAUACUUUGAUGUUUUGUUGGUUUGGAUUUUGUGUAGCUGUUGAGAUUGAGGCUAGCUGUCACAGAUGAGGAUUUGGAUAUUUGUGAUCCGAUUUUAUAGGACAUUAUGUUGAAUUUGACUUCAUUUUUUUGGGUUUAUGAAUACAUGACGACUUCUCUUACUUGGUUUAAAA